UUUAAAAAAAAUAUAAAUGACAUUUUCAUCAAUUUUGAUGAAUAGUAACUUGAUCUCAGAAGAAAAUUAAUACGAAUAAAUACUUUAGUGUGAAUUUUAUGAAUAGUGAAAAGAAAAAAAGAAAUGAAAUGAACCUUUUACUAAUGUGAACGCAUUCUGCCUCAUAACUAAAUAUUGAAUCUAUCAGACUGAUAGCUAAAAAAUUAAGAUAUUUAAAUGUUUUUCCAUAAUAGGUGCUUUCAUUUGUGAACUUUAUUAAUACCUAGUAAGUAAGAAAAUAUCUUUGUCAGUUCUAUCUUGUUGGAUGCCGUAUGAUUAUCGAAUUUAACUUAAUGACAAGAAUUAAAUUUUCGAUAUUAUUUUGCUAUCUUCAUUUCUGAAAUUUUACUUGUAAGUCUUGAAAGUACAUUUCCUUUUAAAAAUUUUGCGUAGAAUAUGUGUGAGAAAUUAUGAGCAGAUGCAAAAAUAUCUUUGCUAUUUUAUUGAGAAUUUGAUUGUCUAUAAUAGCAUGAAAACAAUGUAUCAUAGGUGCAGUUUCAGAGAUGGGACAGCAGUUCUCAAAAAGUGUUCUGCGGAAGGCUCCGAGAGAAAACUUCAACUGCAAUUAUAAAGCAACCAUUGCACCAUAAAUUGGUAAAUAUGAUCGAUAAAUAAUUUUAUGGCGCAAUUGAUUGCACCAAAAUUUCCUACUAUGAGGGACACAAGCUUUAACAGUGACCGAUAAUUUAUUUUUCAACUGUUGACUACUGGAUGAUUUUGUUGUUGAAACUUAGUAUAAUCUCGUGCGCUCCUGUCUUUGAAAUUGACUAUUUCUUUUGAAGGAAAAUUUUUUCUGAAAAGUUAUGUUUUUAUUGUAAAAGGAAUCUGUUAUUCUGAAAUAUAUCUGCUUCUAUAAAACAAAAGAACUUUACUAAAGAGACAAUCCUCACAAACAGUAUACAUGUGGAGUUUUAGUACCAUCAACAUGAAUACUUGUGUGUUUAUCAGCUGCCAUAACCCGAACACAUGGACUCAACAUGAACUCCUUGAUGUAUCCAAGUGGUUAUCAUGUUGUUUAUUUAGUAUUUUACUGUUGACAGUUCCUCUGCAAACUGUGGGGUCUCCCUGCAUAGAAUUCAAUUCAUAAUUUCUCAUGAGGAGAAAUUCUACUUGGGUGCUUAGACACAUUUUAUCAACAAAAAAAUGAAAAAAAUAAAAAUAUAAGUAAGUAAAUAAAUAAAUAAGUAAAUGAAUAAAUUAAAAUAAUUAUAUUUCAAAGUAUAUGAACCUUCCUUUCCAGGAUCUUUGUGGGUGUAAAAAGAUAAAAAUACCUCCCCCCACCACGUCUUAUUAAUAGUUGGUCUCGAAAUAUAUUUUCAGAUGGUGAAAUGUUUUCAAAAUUUUCUAUAAGAGCCACAAUUUCUCAAUUUUUUUGAAAUUGUAUUUAAAAAGUAGUAAUUAAAAUAUGACUUGCUUUGAUUAAUCUAAUUUUUCUAUGUUAGGAAAGAGUAAGGGUUCAAAUUUUGCGUCGUCUGUUAAACUAUUUCAAAUCCUAUACAUCUUAGUAGCAUAAAUUACAUAAUUUAUGAUCUUCUUUCAUUAGUACAAAUACACCAAAAACUUCAAUGAUUAGGUAAGAAAGAGUCUUAGGAAAAAAUAUUGUUAUAACCUGUGCAAAGCCUAUUGAAAUAUUUUUUCUGUCUAAAUUAUCAGCGUUCUAGAUGACAGUUUUUCCAAACUUUAAAAUAAAUUUAAGAACAGCUUACAAACAAAGAAUGUGUGUAGUUUUAAGUUUUGAGAAUAUAGAAUCGGUGUUUGGAAAAAUAUUAAUUUUUUUGCAGAAAUGUUCCGAAGUUUUAUUUGUGUGUAAUCUUUUUAACUCUUGUGUUUUUCACAUAAAAGGUUAUCAACUGAAAAAAAUGUGAUGUAGUUAAAAUAAUAGCACCAGAAAAUCUUUAAGAUUAUUAUGUAUAUAUUUUACUUCAUAUAUGAUCUGCAAAUAAAAUUUUUCCAAAUGAGUAAAAAUUCGUCUAGUCCAGGAAUCAAAUUUGGGAUUUUAGUUUUACUUCAGAGACCAAGCUUUUACCACUUAAUUCACCUUGCAAACAUGAAUUUACUCGGAAUACCUUAUAAGCAUUAGUAACCUGAUCUAUGAAAAUGAUAUAAAUUACAAAGAUAUGUAAUAAGAAAUAUUGGUUUUUCUCAAAUACUAUUAAUUUGUACAGUACUUUUUCCCCAACUGAGUGGAUUUUUAAUUAUUUUAUCAAUUAGUAAAUUAUGUUUGUGAAAAAGUAAUUUAGCUAUAUUGUAAAUUUUAAUUCAGAUGAGUAUAUCCAGAAAUUUAGUAUCUUAUUAAAAUAUUGAAAAUUUUCAGAUGAUCCCAAAUUUCGAAACUGUAGGGGAGAGUGGGGUCAAUUGUAACAGGGUACGAUUGUAACAGAGCAAAAAUU
rnacentral:lncRNA from 1 species